rnacentral:rRNA from 1 species
GAUGAACGCUGGCGGCGUGCCUAAUACAUGCAAGUCGAGCGAACGGGCGCUACUUUUGUUGCGUGAUUGUUUGGGGCGGGGGGGUGUGAAACGCGUGUAAACCCUCCUUGAAAUUCGGGUAAAAUUUGGGAAAACGGGAGCAAAUCCGGUAGAAUAUUUUGAUCCGCAGGGUGGAAAGGUAAAUUACGGCGUUGCGGUAUCUACUAGCGGGUUCCGCGCUGCUUUAGCUGGUUGUGAAGGUAACGGCUUACCAAGGCAAGGAUGCAUAACCGACCUGAGAGGGUGAUAGGCCACACUGGAACUGAGACACGGUCCAGACUCCUACGGGAGGCAGCAGUAGGGAAUCUUCCGCAAUGGGCGAAAGCCUGACGGAGCAACGCCGCGUGAGUGAUGAAGGUCUUCGGAUCGUAAAACUCUGUUAUUAGGGAAGAACAUAUGUGUAAGUAACUGUGCACAUCUUGACGGUACCUAAUCAGAAAGCCACGGCUAACUACGUG